rnacentral:rRNA from 1 species
UGCUCGGGUGGCGAACGGGUGAGUAACACGUGAGUAACCUGCCCUUGACUUUGGGAUAACUUCAGGAAACUGGGGCUAAUACCGGAUAGGAGCUCCUGCUGCAUGGUGGGGGUUGGAAAGUUUCGGCGGUUGGGGAUGGACUCGCGGCUCAUCAGCUUGUUGGUGGGGUAGUGGCUUACCAAGGCUUUGACGGGUAGCCGGCCUGAGAGGGUGACCGGCCACAUUGGGACUGAGAUACGGCCCAG